CUCCUGGAAACGGGUGGUAAUGCCGGAUGUUCCAGUUGAUCGCAUGGUCUUCUGGGAAAGCCUUCGCGGUAUGGGAUGGGGUCGCGUCCUAUCAGCUUGACGGCGGGGUAACGGCCCACCGUGGCUUCGACGGGUAGCCGGCCUGAGAGGGCGACCGGCCACAUUGGGACUGAGAUACGGCCCAGACUCCUACGGGAGGCAGCAGUGGGGAAUAUUGCACAAUGGGCGCAAGCCUGAUGCAGCGACGCCGCGUGAGGGAUGGAGGCCUUCGGGUUGUAAACCUCUUUUAUCGGGAGCAAGCGUGAGUGAGUUUACCCGUUGAAUAAGCACCGGCUAACUACGUGCCAGCAGCCGCGGUAAUACGUAGGGUGCAAGCGUUAUCCGGAAUUAUUGGGCGUAAAGGGCUCGUAGGCGGUUCGUCGCGUCCGGUGUGAAAGUCCAUCGCUUAACGGUGGAUCCGCGCCGGGUACGGGCGGGCUUGAGUGCGGUAGGGGAGACUGGAAUUCCCGGUGUAACGGUGGAAUGUGUAGAUAUCGGGAAGAACACC
rnacentral:rRNA from 1 species